UUCCAGACUCCUACGGGAGGCAGCAGUGAGGAAUAUUGGUCAAUGGGCUUACGCCUGAACCAGCCAAGUCGCGUGAGGGAAGACUGCCCUAUGGGUUGUAAACCUCUUUUGUCAGGGAGCAAUUGGCGCUACGUGUAGCGUUAUCGAGAGUACCUGAAGAAAAAGCAUCGGCUAACUCCGUGCCAGCAGCCGCGGUAAUACGGAGGAUGCGAGCGUUAUCCGGAUUUAUUGGGUUUAAAGGGUGCGUAGGCGGUUUGAUAAGUUAGAGGUGAAAUGUCGGGGCUCAACCCCGAAACUGCCUCUAAUACUGUUGGACUAGAGAAUAGUUGCGGUAGGCGGAAUGUAUGGUGUAGCGGUGAAAUGCUUAGAGAUCAUACAGAACACCGAUUGCGAAGGCAGCUUACCAAACUAUAUCUGACGUUGAGGCACGAAAGCGUGGGUAGCAAACAGGAUUAGAUACCCCCGUAUU
rnacentral:rRNA from 1 species